rnacentral:rRNA from 1 species
UAGGGAAUCUUCCACAAUGGACGCAAGUCUGAUGGAGCAACGCCGCGUGAGUGAAGAAGGUUUUCGGAUCGUAAAGCUCUGUUGUUGGUGAAGAAGGAUAGAGGCAGUAACUGGUCUUUAUUUGACGGUAAUCAACCAGAAAGUCACGGCUAACUACGUGCCAGCAGCCGCGGUAAUACGUAGGUGGCAAGCGUUGUCCGGAUUUAUUGGGCGUAAAGCGAGCGCAGGCGGAAUGAUAAGUCUGAUGUGAAAGCCCACGGCUCAACCGUGGAACUGCAUCGGAAACUGUCAUUCUUGAGUGCAGAAGAGGAGAGUGGAACUCCAUGUGUAGCGGUGGAAUGCGUAGAUAUAUGGAAGAACACCAGUGGCGAAGGCGGCUCUCUGGUCUGCAACUGACGCUGAGGCUCGAAAGCAUGGGUAGCGAACAGGAUUAGAUA